GACGAACGCUGGCGGCGUGCUUAACACAUGCAAGUCGAACGGUGAAGCGCCUUCCUUUUUGGUUGGUGUGGAGGAGUGGCGAACGGGUGAGUAACACGUGAGUAACCUGCACCCUUGUUCUGGAUAACCGCAUGAAAGUGUGGCUAAUACGGGAUAUUCUGGUUCUGUCGCAUGAUGGGUCUGGUACAGAUAUUGUUUCUGUAGGGGAUGGGCUCGCGGGCUAUGAGGUUGUUGGGGGGGUGAUGGCCUACCAAGGCGGUGAGGGGUAGCCGGCCUGGAAGGGUAGCCGGUCACAGUGGGAAUGAGACAAGGCUCAGACUGAGACGGGAGGCAGCAGUGGGGAAUAUGGAACAGUGGGCGAAAGCGUGAAGCAGGGAGGAGGCGGGAGGGAUGGAGGCGUGCGGGUGAUGAACGUCUUUGGGUAGUGAAGCAGGUCUGCCUGGUUUGUGGGUGGGUUGACGGUAGCUGGAUAAGAAGCGCCGGCUAACUACGUG
rnacentral:rRNA from 1 species